AUACUUACCUGGCAGGAGAGAUACCAUGAUCAACAGGUGGUUUUCCCAGGGUGAGGCUUGUCCAUUGUACUCCAGAUGUGCUGACCCCUGCAAUUUCCCCAAAUGCGGAAAACUCGACUGCAUAAUUUGUGGUAGUGAUGGACUGUGUUUGUGUUCUCCC
rnacentral:snRNA from 1 species